rnacentral:lncRNA from 1 species
UUUGGGGAAAAAAAACCGAAGGAAGAACUUUUGUCGGGUUUUAGUUUAGUUGCGAAAUGACUUCUGGGACAGGUCGUUCAAAUGCUUCGAUGGAGGCGUAAGCUCCCACAGGCUUUUUCGGAGCGAGAAAACUUCUCAUCCCAUCAAGCAACGGGAAAGCGACGACAGGAACGGCGCGCCGAAUCCGGAACCGAGCGACAGGAGCUGCGCGCGCAGGUGGGAGAAACGGGCCCGCGCAGUUGAGAUAGCAAGGAUCAAGACUACUAUGGAAGAUUUUGAUGGGGACUUCAGUCACAGAAAAGCCAUUAUGUCUGAAUUAUGUUGCAAUCAGAUUGCUGCAAACAUCCUGGUACAGGAUCUCAGAACCUUGGUGGCUUUUACUGACCCAGAGGAUGGAAUACUGGUUCAUACUCCAGAUGGUGAGUGGCUAGUAGGUUCUUCCAUGCCUGUUUACCAUCACCAUAAAGUACUUCGUUGGACAACUCUUGUCAAUUACAGUUCUCGUAUGAUGGGGAAUCUGUUACUAAAUAAGAACACUAGUACUGUUGGGCUACUAAACAUGCUUAAGUACCUAAAAAGGCCUUCAGACUUCAGAAAUAGUGUGAAGUUGUGCCAACAAACCUCAUGUAUAUCUACACACAAAAGUAUUACAGAAUUGUAAUUAAUUCAGAGCACCAAAUAUCAUUUUGGAUGCCAUUGUAGAGAAUUGUCAAAACAAAAUGAAGUUGCUUUUUGUUCCAGAUUUUUACACAGUCUUUCCAAAUGGUAAUAGUUGCACAUCAGCGCAAAGAUAUUAUGUUAGAAAUACACAAAAGGGAACACAUAAUUUAAAGAAGCC